UCAGAGACCCUGAGGGCCAGAGGCCCUGUUUGAUUUAUUUUAUGCGCAUGUUCCCGGGAUAAGAUCCGCGAAGCGGAUAUUAGUGGCCCCUGUUUAGACCCCAGUAUAUCUGUGGAUGGACCUAGGGAAUGCUGUCUAGAGAUAGACAUGGGAGGGUAUGGAUCUCGUAGGUCAGUACUGCCUUUUCUCGAGGGUAUGGGCUGAUGGGACGUAUGGGGAAAGUGUACACCUUUGUGCAGAGUAUAAUCUAUUCGAAUAGCCGAGGCACAUAGUCAUGAGCUCACUAAGUCAAAGCCCCCAUGAUUACUUCUUGAAACUCGUUGGGAAGGGAUUAGUAUGUUAGAAAUACUAGAUUAUAGUCGUUGGACUGGAUUCCAGAAUAAAUCUUGGGGACUGGUAGGGGAGGUAGUUUUCCCCUUCCAAGACCACAACAUUUAAAAUAUUGAAUAACAUAUUUACUAGAGAGUCCUUUCAAUUCUCACCUUUUAAUUCACCAUGCUUGUGACAGAUGCUUUUAGGCAUAGGAUAUG
rnacentral:lncRNA from 1 species